UAAUUUCAUUUAAUAUUUUAUAUACAGUCCAGUCAGUUGCAACAACAAUUAAAGCAGCAGGAAACAGCCAACUACACAUGCAAGUGAUUGUAAUGAGGAUUCCAAAAGUUUUAAAUAUCAGAAACUGAAGAAGACAUUGAUAAUCAGCAGAUAUCAAAAAAGCGCAAAAGUACUGAUUAUACAACUCUUUUAAAGUUAAACCAUCACCACUUCCACAGCCACCUUAAUUCAAAUUAAGUGUGACAACUUUACCAAAAGACUCUAGAAUGGAC